rnacentral:rRNA from 1 species
CCCCAGAAAUCCACCUCAAAAUCUCCGGGCCGGCAGAAAACGCCCGCAGAGCCGCGUGACCACGCCCCCAACGGCAACCAGGUAGACGCCAAACACGGGCCCCAACCCCCGCCACACCCUUUUUUAAGGACCCCUUCCCGGUAGGUGAACCUGCGGAAGGAUCAUUAAAAAAGGAUACCGGGCAACCGGUAGACCCCACCCGUGUCUCUCUACUCUUGUUGCUUUGGCAGGCCGUGGCCUCCACCGCGGGCUCUGCCUGCGUGUGCCUGCCAGAGGACCAAACUCUGAAUUUUAGUGAUGUCUGAGUACUAUAUAAUAGUUAAAACUUUCAACAACGGAUCUCUUGGUUCUGGCAUCGAUGAAGAACGCAGCGAAAUGCGAUAAGUAAUGUGAAUUGCAGAAUUCAGUGAAUCAUCGAAUCUUUGAACGCACAUUGCGCCCGGUGGUAUUCCGCCGGGCAUGCCUGUUCGAGCGUCAUUAUAACCACUCAAGCCUGGCUUGGUAUUGGGGUUCGCGGUUCCGCGGCCCCUAAAAUCAGUGGCGGUGCCGGUGGGCUCUAAGCGUAGUAAAUCUCCUCGCUAUAGGGUCCCCCCGGUUGCCUGCCAGAACCCCCCAUUUUUUCAGUGACCUCGAGUCAGGUAGGAUACCCGCGA